rnacentral:rRNA from 1 species
GACGUAGGGCGCGAGCGUUGUCCGGAUUUAUUGGGCGUAAAGAGCUCGUAGGCGGCUUGUCGCGUCGUCCGUGAAAACCUGCUCAACUGCAGGCUUGCGGUCGAUACGGGCAGGCUGGAGUUCGGUAGGGGAGACUGGAAUUCCUGGUGUAGCGGUGAAAUGCGCAGAUAUCAGGAGGAACACCGGUGGCGAAGGCGGGUCUCUGGGCCGAUACUGACGCUGAGGAGCGAAAGCGUGGGGAGCGAACAGG